rnacentral:rRNA from 1 species
UGCUUCAUUCAAAUAUCUGCCCUAUCAACUUUCGAUGGUAGGAUAGUGGCCUACCAUGGUUUCAACGGGUAACGGGGAAUAAGGGUUCGAUUCCGGAGAGGGAGCCUGAGAAACGGCUACCACAUCCAAGGAAGGCAGCAGGCGCGCAAAUUACCCAAUCCCGACACGGGGAGGUAGUGACAAUAAAUAACAAUAUAAGGGCUCUUUCGGGUCUUGAUAAUUGGAAUGAGUACAAUUUAAAUCCCUUAACGAGGAACAAUUGGAAGGGCAAGUCUGGUGCCAGCAGGCCGCG